rnacentral:rRNA from 2 species
UACCUGGUUGAUCCUGCCAGUAAUCAUAUGCUUGUCUCAAAGAUUAAGCCAUGCAUGUCUAAGUACAUGCCGAAAUAAGGCGAAACCGCGAAUGGCUCAUUAAAUCAGUUAUGGUUCCUUAGAUCGUUUCUUCCUACUUGGAUAACUGUGGCAAUUCUAGAGCUAAUACAUGCAGUGAGCCUGAAGCCCUUUGGGCGACGGGUGCUUUUAUUAGACCAAGAUCGAUCGGGUUUCGGCCCGUAUUGUGUGGUGACUCUGGAUAACUUUGUGCUGAUCGCAUGGCCACGAGCCGGCGACGUUUCUUUCAAGUGUCUGCCUUAUCAACUUUCGAUGGUAGGUUACUUGCUUACCAUGGUUGUUACGGGUAACGGAGAAUCAGGGUUCGAUUCCGGAGAGGGAGCCUGAGAAACGGCUACCACAUCCAAGGAAGGCAGCAGGCGCGCAAAUUACCCACUCCCGGCACGGGGAGGUAGUGACGAAAAAUAACAAUACGGGACUCUUUUGAGGCCCCGUAAUUGAAAUGAGUACACUCUAAAUCCUUUAACGAGGAUCAAUUGGAGGGCAAGUCUGGUGCCAGCAGCCGCGGUAAUUCCAGCUCCAAUAGCGUAUACUAAAGCUGCUGCGGUUAAAAAGCUCGUAGUUGGAUCUCAGUUCCAGACGAGUAGUGCAUCUACCCGAUGCGACGGCUCGGACUGAACAUCAUGCCGGUCCUUUCUUGGUGCACUUCAUUGUGUGCCUCGAGAAGGCCGGUGCUUUUACUUUGAAAAAAUUAGAGUGCUCAACGCAGGCGAGUCGCCUGAAUAAACUUGCAUGGAAUAAUAGAACAAGACCUCGUUUCUGUUCUGUUGGUUUUUGGAAUACGAGGUAAUGAUUAAGAGGGACAGACGGGGGCAUUCGUAUUGCGGCGCUAGAGGUGAAAUUCUUGGACCGUCGCAAGACGAACUACUGCGAAAGCAUUUGCCAAGAAUGUUUUCUUUGAUCAAGAACGAAAGUCAGAGGUUCGAAGGCGAUCAGAUACCGCCCUAGUUCUGACCAUAAACGAUGCCAACCAGCGAUCCGCCUGAGUUACUCAAAUGACUCGGCGGGCAGCUUCCGGGAAACCAAAGUAUUUGGGUUCCGGGGGAAGUAUGGUUGCAAAGCUGAAACUUAAAGGAAUUGACGGAAGGGCACCACCAGGAGUGGAGCCUGCGGCUUAAUUUGACUCAACACGGGAAAACUUACCCGGCCCGGACACUGGGAGGAUUGACAGAUUGAGAGCUCUUUCUUGAUUCGGUGGAUGGUGGUGCAUGGCCGUUCUUAGUUGGUGGAGCGAUUUGUCUGGUUAAUUCCGAUAACGAACGAGACUCUAGCCUAUUAAAUAGGUGCGGGGUUCCCAGCACCUUACAACCUUCUUAGAGGGACAAGCGGCUCCUAGCCGCACGAAACAGAGCAAUAACAGGUCUGUGAUGCCCUUAGAUGUCCGGGGCCGCACGCGCGCUACACUGAAGGAAGCAGCGUGUCUUUAUCCCUGUCUGAAAAGACUGGGUAACCCGUGGAACUUCUUUCGUGAUUGGGAUAGGGGCUUGCAAUUGUUCCCCUUGAACGAGGAAUUCCCAGUAAGCGCGAGUCAUAAGCUCGCGUUGAUUACGUCCCUGCCCUUUGUACACACCGCCCGUCGCUACUACCGAUUGAAUGAUUUAGUGAGGUCUUCGGACCGAUGUCCGGCGCGGCCUUUCGGUUGCGCCGGUCUGUUGGAAAGAUGACCAAACUUGAUCAUUUAGAGGAAGUAAAAGUCGUAACAAGGUUUCCGUAGGUGAACCUGCGGAAGGAUCAUUA